GUUCUGCGUUCGUGUGAUCGUCGUGCCGAGUUCUGUUUGUGCGGUCGACUUUUAACGCGCUGCCUCGCAUUGUGUGUAUUGUGUGUUGUAUUUCGUGGUUACUGACGUAAGCGCAACUAUACGCGGUACCAGGCAAAUAGUCACCAGAUGCCGACCGUGCGACUUCAAUCUCUGCGACUGCUUUGUUCGGUGUGACCGACGGACGCGAUUCAUAGUUUUGAAGAACACCUUCUUCAAAUGUUUCCGCACGUCAGUGAGUAGCAGCGCCGCAAUCCUUUGUCGACGACGCGUUCUGUCGCCCUGGAAAAUGCUUUGACGCUCGGGGACGGCCGGUAGCUCGGCGAUUCCUCGCUUGGCGCACCAUUGGAAACCGGCGGUCAUCUAGCAGUGUACGCUGCCAGCGUAUUUUUUAUUGCCAGAGGUAGCAAACAGCAGUGCCUCGACAAACAGUGGAGUGCUGACCAUGCAGUCCAGAAGGUGGCUGAGGCAAGUAUGCUAUAGGAGGUGCUUAUUCAGGCAGAAGAAAUAAGCAUCUGUAGCCAGCGUAAAGGAAGCAUCUUCAAAAAGCAGUGCUACAAGGAUGUGAGCAGCAGUUUCCCUUCAACGAACAGGUCAAAUUCAUGGAAGCCACGUGCCUGCUGCUUCUGGCCUACACAAACAUGCAGCCACCAUAGUAAAGUUCUUGCAAAGACAUUCUACACAAACUUGCCCAAAGGCGGAAGGAAGGCACGCACAGAUGGACGCACAGAAAUCAUGGGGCUGCCGUAGAAGCUGUGAAUGAGCAUUAACCUACGUACAGAAAGGAGCGAAGUGGAGCUGUCCAUGGGCCGUGCACACAGUUUCAUAAGCAGGCUUGCAACACUUUUGACAAAUAUGUUCCUGAAUACAUCUGCCAAAGUGGCAUUUAAAGAAGCAUGUAGUAGUGUACUUCACUGUUUAUUUGGCAUGAAGCAGCAGGUAUGCUUCCGUCAUCAGCAAGUUCACACAGUACAGUGCAUCUACACAUGGCAUGCUACCCCCACAUCUACCAGCUCGGGAUGUGUAGCUUGAUUGUAAAAUGUUUACUUUGACUUAACACAACAAUUAUUAACAAAAUGACAUGAAAGUUUUGCCACCUAUGCAGGCGACAUUCUCAGUAUACGCUGCCAAAUAUAAGCGGAGUUUGACCAGUCCAUUAGUCGCACAUUUCCUUGUAAACAUCUCGUAGAGGGCUGCUGUUGUUGUUGCAAGCCAAUGCGCCGUGAUGAAUGAACCAUGAUUCCAAGAUUUUUUUCCUCCGACCUUUGUACACGAGGUAGCAUCGUCGAAUUGAUUAGGUCAAAGUUAUGCCUUGUCAUUCAGCAGCGUUCAACAAGCUCCGUCUUAGAACAUGUUGCAUGGGUGGUUUUCGCAACAUCCUCUUUGUGUUCUUUAACCUUCGAUUACCUUCUUCAACCCAUUUCGCCUAUGCAAGUUGUGUCGCAAUCCCCACAUUGUACUUCGUAGAUGAUCCCGCUCUAAUCUUCGGCGGUGUUUGUGUAUACCUUGUCCUUAGGACAUGUGUUCACAAAGCCCAAAGACCGCACACCUGCGGAUGAUUAGAGCAGGGUAUUCUACAGAGUACGUUGUGGGGUUCACGACACCACUUACAUCGGCGAAUUGGGCAGGAAAAUGCCAAAGACGUUCAAAGAACACAAAGUGGGAAUGUUGCUAAAGCCACCCAUG